rnacentral:rRNA from 1 species
AGUGAACGCUGGCGGUAGGCCUAACACAUGCAAGUCGAACGGGAGCACAGUAUGUGCUUGCUCAUACGGGUGGCGAGUGGCGGACGGUUGCGGAAUACAUCGGAAUCUACUUCUUCGUGGGGGAUAACGCCGGGAAAUUUACGCGAACACCGCAUACAACCUACGGGUGAAAGCAGGGGAUCUUCGGACUUUGCGCGAUUGAAUGAGCCGAUGUCGGAUUAGCUAGUUGGCGGGGUAAAGGCACAUCAAGGCGACGAUGGGUAGAUGCUCUGAGAGGAUCGUCCGCUACACUGUAUCUGAGGCACGGUCCAGACUCCUACGAGGGGACGCAGUCGGGAAUAUUGGACGAUGGGCGCGAGCCUAAUCCUGCCAUACCGCGUGAGUGCAGAAGGCCCUCGGGUUGUUGAGCGAUUUUGUUCUCAGGGAAAAGCAGCUCUUUUACCCACCACUGUUCUGACGGUACCCAAAGAAUAAGCCCCGGCUAACUCCGUG